rnacentral:rRNA from 1 species
AUGUGUGACAUCAGCCUAUUCACGAGCCUCCAUGCCACCAAACUUCACUGGGUCAACUUCGCCAAUGUUGUGCUUUUGCCAAAAAAAGAUGGGGCGGAGGGCAUAUCUGAUUAUAGACCAAUUAGUCUCUUCCAUGCCAUUGCAAAAAGCAUUGCAAAGUUUGUUACAAACCGACAUGGCCCACAUAUGGAUGGCCUUGUCUCCGACAUCGAAAGUGCCUUUAUCAAGAGAAGAAGCAUAUGGGCCAAUUUUAUGUAUGUGCGCGAUCUCACAAGAUGGCUCCACAAAGAAAAACCGCCCUCACUCCUCUUCAAGACCGACAUCCCGUAA